GUCUUUUUGAGUUAUUUUUAAAGUCUGACCUGCCCACUGAAUUUUUAAAUGGCCGCAGUAUUCUAACUGUGCAAAGGUAGCAUAAUCAUUAGUCUUUUAAUUGAAGGCUGGUAUGAACGGUUGGACGAGGUAUAAGCUGUUUCAUAUAAAUUUAUAUUAGAAUUUUAUAUUUUAGUUAAAAAGCUAAAAUUUAGUUAAAAGACGAGAAGACCCUAUAAAUCUUUAUAUUUUGUUUAAUUUAAAUUUUUUUGAUUUGUUUUAUUUUUAUUAUAUUAAAUAUUUUGUUGGGGUGAUGUUAAAAUUUAAUGAACUUUUAAUUGUUUUAAAUCAUUAAUUUAUGAAUUAUUGAUCCAUUAAUAGUGAUUAUAAGAUUAAGUUACUUUAGGGAUAACAGCGUAAUUUUUUUGGAGAGUUCUUAUCGAUAAAAAAGUUUGCGACCUCGAUGUUGGAUUAAGAUAUAAUUUUAGGUGUAGUCGCUUAAAUUUUAAGUCUGUUCGACUUUUAAAUUCUU
rnacentral:rRNA from 1 species